rnacentral:rRNA from 1 species
CAGUAGCCGCGGUAAUACAGAGGGUGCGAGCGUUAAUCGGAUUUACUGGGCGUAAAGCGUGCGUAGGCGGCUUCUUAAGUCGGAUGUGAAAUCCCUGAGCUUAACUUAGGAAUUGCAUUCGAUACUGGGAAGCUAGAGUAUGGGAGAGGAUGGUAGAAUUCCAGGUGUAGCGGUGAAAUGCGUAGAGAUCUGGAGGAAUACAGAUGGCGAAGGCAGCCAUCUGGCCUAAUACUGACGCUGAGGUACGAAAGCAUGGGGAGCAAACAGGAUUAGAGACCCGAGUAGUCCCUGUCUCUUAUGC